rnacentral:rRNA from 1 species
GAUGAACGCUAGCGGCAGGCUUAACACAUGCAAGUCGAGGGGUAGAGGAAGCUUGCUUCCUUGAGACCGGCGCACGGGUGCGUAACGCGUAUGCAACCUACCUUUUACAGAGGGAUAGCCCAGAGAAAUUUGGAUUAAUACCUCAUAGUAUAUGUUUUUCGCAUGUUAGACAUAUUAAAGUUCCAACGGUAAAAGAUGGGCAUGCGUCCUAUUAGCUAGAUGGUAAGGUAACGGCUUACCAUGGCAACGAUAGGUAGGGGUCCUGAGAGGGAGAUCCCCCACACUGGUACUGAGACACGGACCAGACUCCUACGGGAGGCAGCAGUGAGGAAUAUUGGACAAUGGGCGCAAGCCUGAUCCAGCCAUGCCGCGUGCAGGAAGAAGCAUCUAUGGUGUGUAAACUGCUUUUGUACGGGAAGAAACACUCCCUCGUGAGGGAGCUUGACGGUACCGUAAGAAUAAGGAUCGGCUAACUCCGUGCCAGCAGCCGCCGUGGUAA